GCAAAGUCGGAAAUAGUCCAGAGAGACAGUAGUAAAGUGUAGGCUUGUGCAGGCCUCGACUGCUUUUUGUAGGGUCCCUGGGCUGGGGCCCCGUGGGGCUGGGCAGGCCUGGGUUCCCCCACCAGGCCCUGGAGAAGGGGCACCAUUACGGGAAGACCACCUGGGACAGUGGCUCUGGAAAGACUUUGAUAAAUGCACCACCCUCCUUCUCCAGCAGGGGACAGCUAUGGUGGCCUGGCCAGAGGCCCACGCCCUGACGCGGGAGCAGCUGAGCCCUGAAAGAGCGAGGCUGAGAGAGAGAGACAGGGAGUGAGCCACUGCAAGAAGAGGUGUCAGGCCGGCAGAGUGGAUCCCCAGGUGGGACCAGGAGGAGGGGCUCCAGUGAAUGUUUCUGCCGGUUGCCAAGGAAAGUUCCACGGAGCCCUAAUGAGCCCUGGACCAUCAUUUGAAAACCACUGGCUUUGGGGAUCUUCAUGAGCCAUGCUGAAAUCUAACCAGUGGAAGAAUCCCAGACUGGAAGUUCUUCAGGGCAAAGACACUGUCUCCUUUCAUGUUUGUACAACGCCUAGUGCUGUGGGAUCCUGCUUUCAGCUAGGCAUCUAGAUGCCAUCAUGAUACCAAUCUUCUUGUCGGGUCCUCCUACUGCUUCUCGCCAUAGCUGUGCACCUGUGAUGGCUGGAUCCUCAUUAACGGUGGCGAGAGAACUUUGCCGUGACUCAGCGUUGGCGUUCGAUCGUGCAGUGGAAUGUCUUGGAUCUGUGCAUUGCCCUGUGCGCUCAACGGUACUAGCAACGUCCUGGCAUAUUCCAGGAGGAGCAACACUGGUGAGGACGUAGAGGCUGUUGACACAGACACGUCAGUCAUCGCCGAGCCAGGCGUGUGAUAUUUGGAACUGAAGCCUGUUCGCUCCCCAUGUGCUUCGCUUUAGUUCGGUAUGUUACGUGCUAAAGGAGAGAGGAAUCUGAGGUUUACACUCCAAGAGAUUUGACAAACGCGACCUGAUGGCAUCUCUGUAGAGUAAACCAGCUGAACGGAGCCUUCCUAGAAACAAAAACCUCCCGGAUUUGUGGUUUCUUUGAAAUCUUUCUGGGCGCGUGGCCCCUACGGGGUUUCAGAUCGGAGGGUUUCCGUCGAACGCACGACAGCAGCUGUCGGAGGGAAGGGCACGAAAGCCAGCCCGUUCGUGCCCCCUGGGCACCGCACCGCUUGCCCCAGUGAUGGGAAUUCCAGGACCAUAACCCCACAUCUGUUUCACUUCGACUGGUGGUUUCUUGGAGGAGCUCAGCGUGCCAACCCAGAGGCGAGAACAUUUCGAAGCCGAUCGAAGGGGAUUCUGAUGUGUGACUCAAACAGGCAGAAGUUCACGCUUCUAUAUAUAGCGAUGAGUGGAGAUUUUCAACUCCAAGAAAUCCGUUCUCCGUUUCGUCUUUGCCUCCUCUCGGGUGGUUCUCACCCUGUCUGCUCCGGAUUCGACAGCAAAAUCGGGGGGAGGGUUUAGCAGAUGCCUUCUUUACCUUUACUUAAUGAUUUUAAUAAUAAAAGUUGUUCCACGCCCAUAAAGACACCAGCUCCCGGCAGUUACUUGGAGUCAUGAAAUAUACAAAGCGGAAAUUCAAUCGCACGUUUUGUGUGUGUGGUCGGAAUCGCUAGCAGCUGCUUCGGAUUUUUUUUAAACACUUUCGUUUAUGCAGGGGAGGCAUAAUUAUUAUUUUUACUUAAUAAAAGUAGGACAAGUCGCCCCUGCUCUUACAUGUGUCCUUCCUUAUCGGGUUUCCAAGGCUCUGAUUAUUCAAUAGCUAAUUUAAACAAAGCGGAUAGAAAAGAUGUCAAGUAUCCGGAGCAUUUAGUCCUUAAUUUAGAAUAAAUAUAUAUAUAUCUAUUCCCAAUGCACAUUAUUGGGAUUAAAGGAGUGUAAAAGUGAGAGAGCGCAGCUGUUGUGUUUACACACGCGGAGUUUCCCCCGAAUCAGUAAGUGGUUGCCUUUUUUUUAAAAUUGUAAAUAAAACCCAUCUUUGAUUCCAGUGCUAAAAAAAGGAAAUGACUCAGUUUGUUUAUGGGAUGCGGGCUCUUGCAUAUCGAUUGGAACUUGAGAAGUCCAGGGAAAUGCCUGGCAUGCACUGCUAAAAUUUAUUAAGGAGCCCUCUAAUUGUAGCGAGCCUGUGCCCAAGUCGUUAGGAUUUGAAUAAUUGUGAUCGGUAUUUGGAAGCGGGGAGGAUGCAGCUGCUUGGCCUAGUUCAGCGGUAUUAGUGCUGGAGAUUUGACCACCAAAUGGUCGCACCUGUUCCUCAGCCGCAGCGAGCUGCAAUUCAUCACUGCUGUUUCUCACACUGCUAAAUGUGGGACUCUUUUUUAAAUCCCACUUGUUGAAAUCCCAGUUGCUUAGUAUCAGACGGGAGCUCUCCUUCCCCACACAGGACUCUGCUUACAGAAGCGUUCUCACACCUGUGUGAAGCGAAGCACUUCCUCCCCCCAGGGCCCUUGACCGAAUUCGAAUUAUUAUCGGCAGUGGCCCGAUCUUGCCAACCUUCAUGCGAUUAAUCCUUUCUCACACGCUUAGCCUGGUCGAUUUCAGGGAUGACUCAUCCGACCCCUAAUUCUGGGAGGGCAAGGAGUAAAAUUGGUCGUAAUCGGAGGGAGUUAAGGAAGACGCUGCAAAAUCUUCCCUAUAUAAAAAUCCCCCAUCACAAACUAACUGGAUUACAGGGACAGUACCCCGUUGCUAAUUAACUCCCCCUCUUUAAUUCGCCGCAAGAAAAAUUGGUAAAUCUCGUGAAUUAACCA